CAGGAUUAGAUACCCUGGUAGUCCACGCCGUAAACGAUGUCUACUUGGAGGCUGUGGUCUUGAACCGUGGCUUCCGGAGCUAACGCGUUAAGUAGACCGCCUGGGGAGUACGGCCGCAAGGUUAAAACUCAAAUGAAUUGACGGGGGCCCGCACAAGCGGUGGAGCAUGUGGUUUAAUUCGAUGCAACGCGAAGAACCUUACCUACUCUUGACAUCCAGAGAACUUAGCAGAGAUGCUUUGGUGCCUUCGGGAACUCUGAGACAGGUGCUGCAUGGCUGUCGUCAGCUCGUGUUGUGAAAUGUUGGGUUAAGUCCCGCAACGAGCGCAACCCUUAUCCUUUGUUGCCAGCGAUUCGGUCGGGAACUCAAAGGAGACUGCCAGUGAUAAACUGGAGGAAGGUGGGGAUGACGUCAAGUCAUCAUGGCCCUUACGAGUAGGGCUACACACGUGCUACAAUGGCGCAUACAAAGAGAAGCGACCUCGCGAGAGCAAGCGGACCUCAUAAAGUGCGUCGUAGUCCGGAUUGGAGUCUGCAACUCGACUCCAUGAAGUCGGAAUCGCUAGUAAUCGUGGAUCAGAAUGCCACGGUGAAUACGUUCCCGGGCCUUGUACACACCGCCCGUCACACCAUGGGAGUGGGUUGCAAAAGAAGUAGGUAGCUUAACCUUCGGGAGGGCGCUUACCACUUUGUGAUUCAUGACUGGGGUGAAGUCGUAACAAGGUAACCAAU
rnacentral:rRNA from 1 species